rnacentral:rRNA from 1 species
AUUGAACGCUGGCGGCAGGCCUAACACAUGCAAGUCGAACGGUAACAGGAAACAGCUUGCUGUUUCGCUGACGAGUGGCGGACGGGUGAGUAAUGUCUGGGAAACUGCCUGAUGGAGGGGGAUAACUACUGGAAACGGUAGCUAAUACCGCAUAACGUCGCAAGACCAAAGAGGGGGACCUUCGGGCCUCUUGCCAUCGGAUGUGCCCAGAUGGGAUUAGCUAGUAGGUGGGGUAACGGCUCACCUAGGCGACGAUCCCUAGCUGGUCUGAGAGGAUGACCAGCCACACUGGAACUGAGACACGGUCCAGACUCCUACGGGAGGCAGCAGUGGGGAAUAUUGCACAAAGGGCGCAAGCCUGAUGCAGCCACGCCGCGUGUAUGAAGAAGGCCUUCGGGUUGUAAAGUACUUUCAGCGGGGAUGAAGGGAGUAAAGUUAAUACCUUGGCUCAUUGACGUUACCCGCAGAAGAAGCACCGGCUAACUCCGUG